CCUACGGGAGGCAGCAGUGGGGGAUAUUGCACAAUGGGGGAAACCCUGAUGCAGCGACGCCGCGUGGGUGAAGAAGCGCCUCGGCGCGUAAAGCCCUGUCAGCAGGGAAGAAAAUGACGGUACCUGAAGAAGAAGCCCCGGCUAACUACGUGCCAGCAGCCGCGGUAAUACGUAGGGGGCAAGCGUUAUCCGGAUUUACUGGGUGUAAAGGGGGCGCAGACGGCGAUGCAAGCCAGGAGUGAAAGCCCGGGGCCCAACCCCGGGACUGCUCUUGGAACUGCGUGGCGAGAGUGCAGGAGGGGCAGGCGGAAUUCCUGGGGUAGCGGUGAAAUGCGUAGAUAUCAGGAGGAACACCGGUGGCGAAGGCGGCCUGCUGGACUGCAACGGACGUUGAGGCCCGAAAGCGUGGGGAGCAAACAGGAUUAGAUACCCUUGUAGUC
rnacentral:rRNA from 1 species